CAUCAAGAGAGAAAUAAAAUGGGGUUAUCACCUCCUUUCACGGCUUAUUUUCUUUUCUGUUGAACACACCAGAAGAUGCUGUGGAGCAGACAUUUAUUGAGCACUUCUGCAUCAAACAUUGUUCUUUGCACCUGGUAUAUGCAUUACUUUACAUAAUCCUCAAAACUUCUAAAGCACCUUUAUAAGGACCGUGACUUGGGUACCAGCCUGCAAUGCAUACUGGAGGCAAGAGACUAGCAGCCUGGAGAAAUCUAGAGGGAAGUACAAAAGGAAGUAAAAAAAAAAUGAGAGCCACAAAUAAAGUCUAAUUACUAGU